rnacentral:lncRNA from 1 species
UUUUUUUUUUUUUGAGGGGGUUAAGUUUUGUUUGUUGGACUGCUUUCGUUUCUGUCGGCCCAAUAUGGUUUGUGUUCAGUUUUUUGGGCCUCUUGGGCCCACACCACGCUCGUGUGUUCAAUUAGGCCCAAUCAUGCUGCCGUCGUCACUGUGGUCCGUCGUCAGUCAGUGAGAGCACAACAACAAGGUGGCACAAGAAGCCGGCCGGCCCCUCGGAUGAGCCUCUGCCUGAGUGCCUGGAGAGUGGAGACCUUUCAUUGCGGCAAUUCUCUUCUCCCCGGUAAUGUUGAGCGGUUUGCGCGUUGCGUACUUGCGUGGGCUAACGGGCGACGAAAGCUAGCCACGGGUCAUAACAUAUGAUAAAAAAGCUAGCCUCUCCAGCUUGAUCUGCACCAAGGGAAGAAUGUGUUGUCGUCCUUAUCGAGCUCGGUGUGGCAGCAAUAAUGCUAGUGUUACAUUCGUAUAUAGCUAGCCAUGGUCCUAUGCUCACUUGGCGCUAACAUUCUGCCUGUUUCCGCGUAUUCACUUUGACUUGUGCUCGCUAGCUGCCGCGCCCCAUGGGAGGCUGCUGCAUGCUUGCUGGUGCAGUAACCUCCACAGCCGCGAGUGCAAAAUGCCCCAGCUAAUGUCGAUUCUAUAGCAAAUUCACUACCGUUUAUGAUUUAUUCUACCGUGUUCCGUCACCGCGCAGCCAAACCACCACGGUGCUAGGUCCGAGGUCCUUUAUCUCUUAUGAAUGAAUAUUCAGCCAAGAUGUGGUGAUUAGUUUUAAUUUGUGCAGCGGUACAUGCAUGAGAGCUUAUGAUGGAAAAUUACCACCUCUAGAAGCCUAUGAACAUUUCAAUUUCUUUAGCCAUCUAUCCUCUGUUGGAUUAAUUGGUAAUCCGGCCCCUCCUUCCUCUUAGUUCUGGCUCCGCCACUGUCUCAAGAAACUGUCGUGAUAAUACUCCAAGCUCGAGGGGGAAAAAAAGGAUCGAAGAAAAAACAUCAGCCAACAUCAUGCAUCCAUGCUGCCGAUCGAAACAUGUCGACACUCUUCUGGCGCCGCAGCCGUGCAGCACGUACGAACCUUCAGCAGCUUCAGCCCGCCUCCGGAGAAAAGUCCAAAGACGCGAGAGCCGCCGCUGUUUAUGUGGCAACUCGACGUCUCCAUCUUUCACAAGUGAUGACAGCAGGGAGGGGGCCGGGCUCUGAGACGCUGGUACGCAUGCUCACCGUCCGUCGGUCCAUCGCUGCCGUGCGUGCCCUAGAGCGCAGGGCCCCCCAGGGUAGCCGAGUUCCCCGUCCCGCCAGCCGGCUGCGGGCCACCGUCUUUUCGCCGAGCGAGCGCCAACAGCCGCCUGCUGCCAGCCGCCGCUGUAGCGCGACGGCGACAGGCGGCAGCGGACACGUCGGCCGGGCCCGGGGCACCAGAGGGGGGAUAAGGACGGGCCCCAUCUUAUCGCGCUGCGGAUUCCUUCGAUUCCCCCGCCGGGCCCCGCGAGGCCGGGGAUCGAUCGAUCGAUCGGGGUCGCACAUCUCCGCACCAAAUCGCCCGCCCGCGCCCACCCAAAUCCCUCGCGCUCCCUCCUGUUUUCCGGCCACUCCGCCCCGUCCUCUCACCCGGCGGCCCGGGGCCGUCCAAGGGCCCUCGCUUUCGCUUCACGUGGGCUUCGGCGUCCUCGCUGCGACUUGCGAGCCGGAGGACGCCCUCGUUCGUUCACGCGCUGACGAUUCCCUGCACUGGAGGCCGGAUAAGAUGGCGUCGUUUUGGCUCGUAGCUGGAGUGAGUGGGGGGACGUCCCGACUGGAAUUGGUGACGGCGGCACCGAGGGAGACCGAGAUUAGAUUAGACCAGCCUAAUUGGAUAAGAAUAUGCAGGUUAACAGUCGGCCGGACGAUUGUGGUUAGUGGGACGCGGUCGGCCUAGCUAAGCUAAACAACGCCACACCUACCGACCGUAUCAAAAGCUAAGCAUCACGGAGAUCAGCGCGUUCGCUCGGGUGGGGCCCCCCGGGGGCCUACGCACCCACUCCCUCUCACACACGCACUGACGCACAUAUGUCCAAACGCUAAGCAUCCCAAACGCAGAAGCAUCACUGAUCACUUCUGAAAAAAAUGUGCAUGCACGAACCUAAGACAGCAGUAGGCAGCAGCUCAACUUGGUGUACGACUGGUAGCCUUUGGUUUCCCUUUUUUUUGGAAAAAAAAAUAAAGGGAAUGCAUAGCUUUGGAAGAAAUGAAGGCAUAAACCAGGUACAGUAGUUCUUGUGUUCUACGAGCAGCACCAAGCCAAGUUGUUAGCUGUAUCACAUAACGCUAUUAGGAAGGAUACGGUUAGAUGGCAUGGUCAACUUCAUUAUCAGCGAUAAAUAAGCGCGUGCCGGACGAUAAGAUGGGCCAUGCAUGUCGUGGGCCAACCAUCCGCCACGACUUCUUUUCACCCGGCCUCUAGGACUUAUCCAAACCAAAAACCCAAUUAUGCACGCAACAUAAUGAUUCCAACCAAUCGAUAACAUUAUCCGCUUAAUUAGGUCAGGAGAUCCCAAUCUCAUAGUAGCAGUAAUAAAAAGAAGAAGAAGAAGAAAAGUUACUGCAGCCUACUCUUGCAGAUGGGACAAGGCACGAGAGAAGCUGGAACAAACUCCUGCACCGUCUCGAGCACCCGCCACGUGGCGCGAGCAGGCCCGCUUAUCUCUGUCCUGCGGUGCAGGUGCGGCGCAGGAGGAAGAAGGCGAGAUGCGGAGUACUACCAGUACUACUGCUCCAGUAAUAAAAAGUUAAAAAAAUCGGGGCACCAGAACAAGUUCUUCUACAGUCAUGGAUUGGCAACACACAGCAACGGCGCGGGUCGCGCCAUUUUUGAUUCUUGGCAAGGGGUAAAACCGAGGCGGUAAAAGAUACCGAUCGCCAUGAGGGAGGGGCGUGUCGCUAGAACCGGGCGAGCGCGCGGCGGAGCACCUGGGCGAGGAG